AGCUGAUGCAUUUCGUGGUUUCUCUCCCAGUACCACCGCAUUAGCUGUUCCCCUCUGGAGGUUAUUGACCUUCACAACUUAUAAGGGCCCUGGUUUCCGGUGGCCCUCUUUU
rnacentral:sRNA from 3 species